UACAGAGGUCUCGAGCGUUAGGCGGAAUCACUGGGCUUAAAGCGUGUGUAGGUGGAUCGUUAAGUACCUUGUGAAAUCCCACGGCUUAACCGUGGAACUGCUUGGUAUACUGGCGGUCUUGAGCCACUUAGGGGCUACCGGAACAAAUGGUGGAGCGGUGAAAUGCGUAGAUAUCAUUUGGAACGCCAAUGGUGAAAACAGGUAGCUGGGAGUGUGCUGACACUGAGACACGGAAAGCCAGGGUAGCAAACGGG
rnacentral:rRNA from 1 species